rnacentral:rRNA from 1 species
UACGAAGGGGGCUAGCGUUGCUCGGAAUCACUGGGCGUAAAGGGUGCGUAGGCGGGUUUUUAAGUCAAAGGUGAAAUCCCUCGGCUCAACUGAGGAACUGCCUUUGAAACUGUCUGGCUUGAGGCCGGGAGAGGGUAGCGGAAUUCCCAGUGUAGCGGUGAAAUGCGUAGAUAUUGGGAGGAACACCAGUGGCGAAGGCGGCUACCUGGACCGGUUCUGACGCUGAGACGCGAAAGCGUGGGGAGCAAACAGG